CCUACGGGUGGCAGCAGUGAGGAAUAUUGGUCAAUGGACGAGAGUCUGAACCAGCCAAGUAGCGUGAAGAAUGACUGCCCUAUGGGUUGUAAACUUCUUUUAUAUGGGAAUAAAAUGUUCCACGUGUGGGAUUUUGUAUGUACCAUAUGAAUAAGGAUCGGCUAACUCCGUGCCAGCAGCCGCGGUAAUACGGAGGAUCCGAGCGUUAUCCGGAUUUAUUGGGUUUAAAGGGAGCGUAGGUGGAUUGUUAAGUCAGUUGUGAAAGUUUGCGGCUCAACCGUAAAAUUGCAGUUGAAACUGGCAGUCUUGAGUACAGUAGAGGGGGGCGGAAUUCGUGGUGUAGCGGUGAAAUGCUUAGAUAUCACGAAGAACUCCGAUUGCGAAGGCAGUUCACUGGACUGCAACUGACACUGAGGCUCGAAAGUGUGGGUAUCAAACAGGAUUAGAUACCCCUGUAGUC
rnacentral:rRNA from 1 species